ensembl:misc_RNA
UAGGGCUAGUGGAAGACCUAAGAUGGCGGCGUUUGCACGGGGUGCAAUCACUGCGUCCUUACGGGGGUUGCAAGGCGUCCGAAGUAUGAGUCCACUAACAAAAGUCCAGAAACUCGCCAGUUAAUAGUAUUGUGG